rnacentral:rRNA from 1 species
UACAGAGGUCUCGAGCGUUGUUCGGAUUCAUUGGGCGUAAAGGGUGCGUAGGCGGCGGGGUAAGUCUGAUGUGAAAUCCCGGGGCUCAACCCUGGAACUGCAUUGGAUACUGCCUUGCUAGAGAGCUGGAGAGGAAACUGGAAUUUACGGUGUAGCAGUGAAAUGCGUAGAGAUCGUAAGGAAGACCAGUGGCGAAGGGCGAGUUUCUGGACAGCUACUGACGCUGAGGCACGAAGGCCAGGGGAGCAAACGGG